AGCUAAUGUACAUGACACGUCUUUGUGAUACAGCACCCAAGUCUAGGGUGUUGAAUCGGUUGAUGUUUACACAGCCUCAACUCAGUGCCUCAAACUCCUCUGUGACCAGUUUGGUCUCCAACCACAUAACUCAUCUCCCCUAAUCUGAUGUCUCCGAAGAGCCAUCCCAGAGACAGUAACAUGGCUGAACCCACCCGAUAUUGUUAGCAGAGGAUGCACAAACAUUGUUGGCAUCUGGAGAUUAGUGCCACCUUCUCCUAACAUGUCACAGAUUAGCAAUUGCUUGAGAGUUAACUACGAAUUGGUACAAUGAUAUUUUAAUCAUUGAACGGUCCUCUGAAAAACAGGGCUGAGAAUAUAGCGCCGGUCUUGUUCUGAUUCUGGUAACUAGCUGUGACCAAGUGGAGAAAAUGCUGUGGUGUUGGGAAAUUAACUUGUAUCUCUCCGAAAUGGUUUCAACAUUCACACUUUUACUAAUAAUUUACUGAAAAAAAAAAACCCAAAACAACAAAAAACCCCACAGAACCAACAUUUUCUAAAGUAUCUAAUCUGUUAAUCUUAACCAGAUAAGACAUUCUAUGCAUCCAUGGGUGUCUUUGUUUUACCGUACAUUUAUUAUUUGCUAACCUGUACAGAUACGAUGAUGGGGCAAGAGUUCUUCUAAUCAAUGUUUAAUUGUUCCUUGUAUAAAACAAAAACUUGCCCAUAAAUAACUUCAUGACAUCAUUAAAAAACAUGUAACAACAGCCUCAUUCCAGAGACAUUUAAGCUCCAGAUUGAGUCUAUUGGGCAUCAGCAGAUUUUAUGAACCUGGGGCAUCUUCUCAAUUAGUGCCCAGGGGCAAGGGGUAAAGGAAGCUCUGUGUGGAGAUGUGGUGUGAAGGUGACCAACCUGGAAGGGCCUGUGAAGGGUACCAUUCGCCCUUCUGUACCUCUCUUAGGAGAAAAAUGCCUUCCUUGCUGUGCACACACCCAAUACUUAAGGACGAUUUGUCACUCAGAGGGUUUUAGAGUUAUACACCAACAUUCAACCUACAAAGAAAUAACAUUUCUAAUCUCCGGCUUGCUGAGACGUGUAGUAAUAAGUCUGGAGAUGUGCAAGCUAAGAUACAGGGCCUCUGGGUAGUGUGUUUGAGAACUUGGGUUUGGUCCUCAGGUAAUAGGUAAUGGAGGGGAGAGGAGGAGCUAAUUUUAGCCAAAGUGAUAGAAAACCUGAUUUUCAUCUCCUACCAGGCUUUACAAUGUUGAAAGUGGCCUAGUAACUCUGAGUACUUGAAAGAAAGCUUUAUCAUUUGUUUAAAGAUGUAGCUAUAGUUGCCUAAGGAU
rnacentral:lncRNA from 1 species